AGAUGAGAUGAUGAAUGAGAUUAAAUUUCCUAUUGUUUCGAUUGGCCGAUAUGAUGGCCCAAAUACUGAACCAAAUAUGAUCAUCA
rfam:Triticum aestivum genome assembly, contig: Triticum_aestivum_CS42_TGACv1_scaffold_049609_1BS